UUAUGGCCAUAUCAUAUUGAAACACCAGUUCUCAUAUGAUCACUGAAGUUAAGCAACAUUGAGUCUGGUCAGGUGGGUGACCAUAUGGGAAUACCAGAUGCUGUAA